rnacentral:rRNA from 1 species
UACGGGGGGGGCAAGCGUUGUUCGGAAUUACUGGGCGUAAAGGGCUCGUAGGCGGCCAACUAAGUCGGACGUGAAAUCCCUCGGCUUAACCGGGGAACUGCGUCCGAUACUGGAUGGCUUGAGUUUGGGAGAGGGAUGCGGAAUUCCAGGUGUAGCGGUGAAAUGCGUAGAUAUCUGGAGGAACACCGGUGGCGAAGGCGACAUCCUGGACCGGUAUUGACGCUGAGGCGCGAAAGCCAGGGGAGCAAACGGG